AGGACUUGUGACCUUGGUGAGAUCCGUCGAGGAGCAGUUGCUGAAAGAGGUUCUUAUGUUGCUAACAUCAACUAGUUCUUUCAUAUUACCAAUGCGAGUUAAGACUAAAUGAACUUUUGUUGUUUGGUACAUUUUUACACUUACUUGUUGUGAAUUCUCGUUAUGUGCAAUUGAAAUUAGCAAGAUCAGAUUGGUCAAAUUUUUUUUUCUCGUGAUUUACU
rnacentral:lncRNA from 1 species